AGAACGAACGCUGGCGGCAGGCCUAACACAUGCAAGUCGAACGCCCCGCAAGGGGAGUGGCAGACGGGUGAGUAACGCGUGGGAACAUACCCUUUGGUUCGGAAUAGCUCGGGGAAACUUGAAUUAAUACCGGAUACGUCCGCAAGGAGAAAGAUUUAUCGCCGAAGGAUUGGCCCGCGUCUGAUUAGCUAGUUGGUGGGGUAACGGCCCACCAAGGCGACGAUCAGUAGCUGGUCUGAGAGGAUGAUCAGCCACAUUGGGACUGAGACACGGCCCAAACUCCUACGGGAGGCAGCAGUGGGGAAUAUUGGACAAUGGCGCAAGCCUGAUCCAGCCAUGCCGCGUGAGUGAUGAAGGCCCUAGGGUUGUAAAGCUCUUUCGUCAGGGACGAUAAUGACGGUACCUGAAGAAGAAGCCCCGGCUAACUUCGUGCCAGCAGCCGC
rnacentral:rRNA from 1 species